UGAUAGCUAUGAAGCACAGGUUGCUAUACCAAAGAAUAGGGCGUAGGUUUUGUGUGGAGCGAAGGUCAUGUUACAAAAACUGGCGACAA
rnacentral:ncRNA from 1 species